rnacentral:lncRNA from 12 species
CCCCACUAGACUAUGUUCUGAACCCACUUCAGAAAUGGAACUCCUACUGUCUGCUGAGACUCCAGUCAUUGCUUGAAGAAAGGACAGCAGUUAAUCCAGUUAAUAAGGGGAAGGUUCCUCUAGGCAUUGACCCAGAACCUGUCUCCUUGGUGAUUCUGUGGGCCUUUCAGCUGAGCAAAGGCCACUGAACUCCCCUGCUGGAUCCUCUGUCAGCAUUUUACUUGGGAUUUAGUUCCAGAAGAAGAGAAAGAGCCAAGACAUCUUACAAACUGUUUCUUAAGAAGGAAGAAAAACUGACAUCUCAGCAGCCACCUGAAUGACUGAGUCAGAAGACUUGGAGUUGGCCUCAGCUGCUCUCUCAUUCACUGGACUAUCAAUCGUAUGGAGUGGUCUUCUUUCUACAGUAAUAAAAAUGGUGUCGGCCACUGAAGCAAAACUGGUAAGUGUUGAUUAUGAUACCUUUCCCUCCCCUCAUUCCCUGUUCUAUUUCUUUACUCUAUAUUUAUGUUUCAUACCCUCCAGUUUCAUUCUCUUAAUGCCACUGUUGGGCCUCUCUCACUUUCUUUUUUUUAAUUGAAAUUCAGUUAGCCAACAUAUAGUAGUACAUCAUUCAUUUCAGAUGUUGUGUUCAAUAAUUUCUCACUUCCUAUUUUAUAUCCAUCACCCCUUUCAUACAGAUUCCAUAAGCAUCACAUGGCUGAAUGAUAGUCACUUAACUUUUGGAAUAGAAACUCUGCAUGUUUCAGGAGCCAUCUCAUGCUUCCCAGAAUAAAGGCACCCAGGGCUUCUGGAUGGUACCA